rnacentral:rRNA from 1 species
AUGCAAUUCAAGAAUAGAUGGGAAAAUCUCAAAACUAUGUAUUGUCAAUGGAAACAAUUGCAAAUUGACGCAUCUGGACUUGGAUGGAAUGCUAAGCUAGGAACCAUUGAUGCUGAUACUGAUUGGUGGAACACUCACCUAAUGAAACACCCAGAGCAUGCAAAGUAUAGGAAUGCAGGACCACCCAACUUGGCUGAAAUGGACCUCAUGUUUGAUGACCGUCAUGUCACCGGUGCCGAGUCCGCUAUCCCCGGUGAGAUACCAUUGGACAAGGAGGAAGUCACUAUUGACGAUGACUCUGAUAGUGCAGAGGAUGAUGAUGAAGUCAUCAAAGCAAAACCAAAGAAGCAGCGCAAGACCAAGUCCUGUAAAGAUGAUUUUUCUGCUCUAGAUGAGAAGAACCCAUUUGUUCGGAUGUACAAGAAGGCUAGUGAUGCGAUAUGUGUAACGGCUGAAAGUAUAAAAGAAGCAUCUAGCUCCAGCAAGGCUCAUCCUCCCCCUUCUCCUCCGGUUGCUCCUGCCCCUCCUCCUCCGGUUGGCCCUAGUAUGAAUGAGGCAAUGGAGAUGGUUCGUGACUGUGGAGUUGAGGAAGGAACUCCUCUCUUUUUCUCUUCCAGCAUGCUUUUUAUGAAGCCUGAGUAUAGAGAAAUGUUUGCGUCGGUUCAGACCAAGGAAGGAAGGUUUGAUUGGCUCGAGAGAGCGCAUGAUUAUGCUAUGUAA